AUGGAGACUUUGUACCGUGUCCCAUUCUUAGUGCUUAAAUGUCCCAACCUGAAGCUGAAGAAGCCGCCCUGGCUGCACAUACCAUCGGCCAUGACUGUGUAUGCUCUGGUGACGGUAUCUUACUUCCUCAUCACUGGAGGAAUAAUUUAUGUUGUUAUUGUUGAACCUCCAAGUGUGGCUCUAUGACUGAUGAACAUGGGUAUCAGAGGCCAGUACCUUUCUUGGUCUACAGGGUAAAUGGACAAUAUAUUAUGGAACGACUUGCAUCCAGCUUCCUGUUUACCAUGGGAGGUUUAAGUUUCAUAAUCCUGGACCCAUUGAGUGCACCAAAGAUCCCCAAACUCAAUAGAUUUCUUCUUCUAGUCAUUGGAUUUGUCUGUGUCCUAUUAAAUUUUUUCAUGGCUGGAGUAUUCAUGAGAAUGAAACUGCCGGGCUAUCUGAUGGGUUAG
rnacentral:lncRNA from 1 species